rnacentral:rRNA from 1 species
CGGGGCAACCGUGGCGGCGAGCGGCGAACGGGUGAGUAAUGCAUCGGAACGUACCCUGGAGUGGGGGAUAACGCCGCGAAAGCGGCGCUAAUACCGCAUAUGCUCUGAGGAGGAAAGUGGGGGACCGCAAGGCCUCACGCUCUGGGAGCGGCCGAUGUCCGAUUAGCUAGUUGGUGAGGUAAAGGCUUACCAAGGCGACGAUCGGUAGCUGGUCUGAGAGGAUGAUCAGCCACACUGGGACUGAGACACGGCCCAGACUCCUACGGGAGGCAGCAGUGGGGAAUUUUGGACAAUGGGGGCAACCCUGAUCCAGCCAUGCCGCGUGAGUGAAGAAGGCCUUCGGGUUGUAAAGCUCUUUUGGUCGGGAAGAAAGUGCCCUGCUUAAUACGCGGGGUAUUUGACGGUACCGGCAGAAUAAGCACCGGCUAACUACGUG